rnacentral:lncRNA from 1 species
GGAGGCCAGAGGUACACAUUAUCUGUCAUCUUUGAGCACUCUAUCUUUUUUUGUUUUUUUUUGUUUUUUUUUUGAGGCAGGGUCUCUCUGUGUAGUCCUAGCUGUCCUGGAACUAUGUAGACCAUGUUGGCUUCAAACUCCCUGAGAUCUGCCUACCUCUGCCUCUCUAGUUGCUGGGAUUAAAGGUGGUUGGCACCAUACCCAGUCUCCUACCUUAUUUUUGAGAUGGGGUCUCCCACUGAAUCUGGAACUUGCUGGUUUGGCCUGACUGGAUGACAGGCAAUCCCCAGGCAUCCCUCUGCUUCCACACUUCCCUAGCACUGGAGUUACAGGUCUGUGUCACCAGGCUUGGCUUUUUAAUGUGGGAGCUGGGGAUCUGAAGUCAGAGUCUUUGAGGGCAUGCACCUUACUUACUGAGCUGUCGCCCCAGCCCCAUCUUGGGAAUUUUAAUAUGUGCUUGCACCAGAAGUUGAAAUUGACAGUGUCAGGGGUGGUGCCCAGACUCUGGGGCUUUGACUAUCUGGUCCUAUGCAUAGGCACAGCUGCCCUUAAGUUUAGAGAUGUUAGUUUAUUGCCAUCCGAGGUCUGUGGUGUGCAGUGACCUCUACUGACUGUUGGUAGACUUUCCCCACUGAGAUGAGGUGACAAGUGGCUUUUUUAUGUGUUGUCUCAGGAGGUUAUGGAGUAGUUGCCUGUCCCUUUUCCAUGGAGGUCAGUAGGUCAUGGCUUGGAGCAAGGAUCACAGUGGGACUUGGCUGCUGCCCAGCUAGUGGCAUGUCUGUCUGUCCACCCUCACCACCUUGUCUGCUGCUGAUCCUCCACCCUCACCAUAGCUGUGAGGUGAACAGGAGGGAGGGAGGCAUUGUGUAGACAGGAUCAGUGCAGAAGUCUUGGUGAAAGGCAUCACUGGGGUCCACCUGUUCUGUGACAUCCCACGUGACAGUAGACAUGGCCCCCUCUUCUGACACCAUUUCCUUGUCUCGCUAGGUAUUACAACUGGACAACAGCAGCUCCUCUACUUCUGGCGAUGCAGGCUUUCCAGAAACCUUUGCCAAAGGUGAGCGCUAACAUGAUUAAGAAAAGGGGUUUGGGGAGGGACAGGUUAAUGGGGAAUCGUAGCUUGACUUGGGAAACCUGAGGCCAUGGUGUCUUGAUGCUCAGGAGUUCCCAUGUCAGUGUUUCCGAUCUCCCUCUCUUGCACCUGACCCUACUUCCCUCCCUCACCAGGGCAAGAGUUUGUAAAUCAUGGUAAUGUAGGUUCUUGCUCCCACUCCCAACACCUAGAGUGGCACACACCAGGAUGCAGAAACAAGGGAAGUUGCAGAGGGAAAGCAUACUUGUGGAAAGGCAGGAGUAGACCCCGGGGCACAUGCACAGGUCAUGACUGUCAACAGGUGUCUCUAAGAAGCCAGUCCAGUGGCUGCUCCUCCAAGGCAGGGCUGAGGAUGGGACUCGAGUAGCUCCUGGCCUGCGUAUGAGAACAGGGGAGUGGCUGCAAGCCAGAGCUGGAUGAGGAAGGCAGCCCUGCCAGCCCCACAGUGUUCACCUCCUUCUCCACUUGCCUAGAAUUGCUCAUGUCUUCUGUGUCGUCUUCCUUCUAGAUUUUGGGCAUGCUCUUUGGGCUGUGGAGUCACAGUUUUAGACGGGCUGGUUCCUGACAGCCAAGGCUGUUGCAGUCUGUUAGAUCUUUCCCAAGUCUGAGGUUUUGGAGGUCAAAUCUCACUUUGUUUAGCCUGGGUGUGCCUUUUGUGUGUGCUGUAGCUUGUGGUGGUGGCUGUGUGUUUGGUAGCCCUUUUCAGUAUUGUAGCUGAGGCACAGCUUACGGAUGACGAAGCCCAUGGGCUGCGGAGUGCAGUCCCCGAGGGUUGUGAUCUAGUGGGUUAGGGGUUCGGGGCUCUGCUAACACUGUUCCUCUAACACAGAACUGGUUUUCAAUGUAGUAUUUAGCCUUUGUUAUGCUGUUGGUUACAUAACUAGCACUUUUAAAAUGGUCUUGGUGACCGUGCUUCACACAUUUCCUUAUAUAACAGUGCCCAGAGUAGGAAUGGAGGUAGGACAGACUCUUCAUGCUUCAUUGCUCAAAGCUUGAUCACUUCUAAACUGGUUCUCGGCAGAGCAGCGGAAUGAGCGUGAAUGGUACAGGGCAAGUGGGGUUUUGUCUCUGGAACUGAGUGCACUCCCCCAAACCUCUCUGAAUAUGUUGCAGCCUGGUUCCGGACCACAGUUUGGAAGGAGGCAGUUGCUCAAGUUCAGAAUCACCUUAGGGUCACCCCAGUGUCAUUUGUUAGGUAGCCUGCUUGAUGGUUGGUGGUGGCUGCCCCAUUUACCUAUGAAUUGAGGCUAGUUUCUUAAUCUGAACUUUAUUUUCUGUCCCAGUGAUGUGUUUACUCAUGAACCAACAUGGAACUUUUUGGAUUGUUGUAGAUUUAACACCCAAUACCUACUUACUGUAGUCCUGUCCGAGGAUUUUCUUGGCUGUUUUUGUUUGUUGGUGGACCAUAUCCUGUUAGGUUUUCUCGUUAGGUUGUAUAGCUUGUCUCUGUGGAUGAACUCGCAGGGGUGGAGGUGGAGAGAGGACGAUAUUUCUGAAGGCUGUGCUGUCCAUGAGCAUUGUAUGCACGCUUUGCAUUUGAGUGGACUCAGUCUGCCUUCUGUGUCAGUUACGGAUCUCUUAAAUACGAAUUGCAUAUCUGAAUAUAAAUCUAUGAAUCAUUUAUCUAUCUACCUACCCAUGUCCUGUUAGAUUGAAAUACUUAGUUUCUCCACUCUGAGAUUUCUCCGUUAGCUGAGGUAAUGGCUGCUUCUAAAUGGAAGAGGGAAAUGUAGAUAACAUUGGCUUUGACCCCCAAAUAGCCUUAAGCCAGGCAUUGCUAGUUAGAAUUAUUUACAAAAUGACUAUUUUAUGUCUAAUCCCCCCAUCAAGCUUUGUAUGCAAGGUAUCCACAUGAAUUUUACCUUUAAUCUUUGAUUUUUAAAUCAAUCUGCUAAACCUCAGUUGGUCAAACUUUGAAAACUUAAA